GCUGCGGGGAGGGUCUUCUUGGGGCCGCCUUGCCCCUCCCCAGUCCGGCCGCGGCGGGGGUUCGAGCGGCUGCUCAGCAAGGCCUGAGUAGGUCCAGGGCAUGAGCGAGGUGUGGGGGGCCGGAGGGCCUCGGUGCCAGGCGGCGCUCACCGUCCUGGCCUCGCUGUGCCGGGCCCGGCCGCCCCCUCUCGGGCUGGACGUGGAGACUUGUCGGAGCUUCGAUCUGCAGCCCUUAGAGCGGAGUCCAAGCGCAGCCGACGGAGGCACCUCUGUCAGCCUCCUCGCCGUGGUAGUUAUUGUGUGUGGCGUGGCCCUGGUGGCAGUUUUUCUCUUUCUCUUUUGGAAGCUGUGCUGGAUGCCCUGGAGGAACAAGGAGGCCUCCAGUCCCUCUUCUGCUAACCCUGCCUCAGAGGCCCUCCAGAGCCCCAGCUCCAGAGGUAACAUGGCGGACAAGCUGAAGGACCCCAGUACCCUGGGCUUCCUAGAAGCAGCUGUGAAGAUCAGCCACACAUCCCCAGAUAUCCCAGCUGAGGUGCAGAUGUCGGUCAAAGAGCAUAUCAUGCGUCAUACACGACUGCAACGGCAGACCACAGAGCCAGCGUCAUCCACCAGGCACACGUCCUUCAAGCGCCACCUGCCACGGCAGAUGCAUGUCUCCAGCGUAGACUAUGGCAAUGAGCUGCCACCAGCGGCUGAGCAGCCCACCAGCAUUGGCCGCAUCAAGCCAGAACUCUACAAGCAGAAGUCAGUGGAUGGGGAUGAUGCCAAGUCGGAAGCUGCCAAGAGCUGUGGGAAGAUCAACUUCAGCCUCCGCUAUGACUACGAGACUGAAACUCUGAUCGUGCGCAUCCUGAAGGCCUUUGACCUCCCUGCCAAGGACUUUUGUGGAAGCUCUGACCCUUAUGUCAAGAUCUACCUCUUGCCUGACCGCAAAUGCAAGCUGCAGACCCGGGUGCACCGUAAGACCCUAAACCCCACCUUUGAUGAGAACUUCCACUUCGCCGUGCCCUAUGAGGAGCUGGCUGACCGCAAGUUGCAUCUCAGUGUCUUUGACUUUGACCGCUUCUCCCGCCAUGACAUGAUUGGGGAGGUCAUCCUGGACAACCUCUUUGAGGCCUCUGACCUAUCCCGGGAGACUUCCAUCUGGAAGGACAUCCAGUACGCCACUAGUGAAAGUGUGGACUUGGGAGAGAUCAUGUUCUCCCUCUGCUACCUGCCCACGGCAGGCAGGCUCACGCUCACAGUGAUCAAGUGUCGCAAUCUCAAGGCAAUGGACAUCACAGGCUAUUCAGAUCCCUACGUCAAAGUGUCCCUGCUGUGUGAUGGACGGAGACUGAAAAAGAAGAAAACGACCAUCAAGAAGAACACCCUCAACCCUGUCUACAAUGAAGCCAUCAUCUUUGACAUUCCGCCAGAGAACAUGGAUCAAGUGAGCUUGCUCAUCUCGGUUAUGGACUACGAUAGAGUGGGCCACAAUGAGAUCAUAGGAGUCUGUCGCGUGGGGAUCAAUGCUGAAGGCCUGGGCAGGGACCACUGGAAUGAGAUGCUGGCAUACCCACGGAAACCUAUUGCACACUGGCACUCCUUGAUGGAGGUAAAGAAAUCCUACAAAGAGGGAACCCCUCGGUUGUGAUUUCAUUCACGUGGAUGCUGCAAGCAGAGAGACAGCCACCGGAGUUAGGAUGGCAGGGCCGAGCUGCCAGCUUCGACAGCGAGAGCUCUUGCCCGUCUCCGAAACCACCGCCAACACCGUGAGCUGCACAGCCAAGCCACACAAAGAGGACUCAGCAAUGUUCUUUUCACACUUGUUCAGCUGUCUAAAUGCAGUGUCGUGCAGUCAUGGCAGUGGCGGCAGCGGCCACUGCCACUCCAUGGUCUUGACUAUUCCUGUGUAGAGCAAGGCCAAGACACUUGUCAUGUGGUCAGAUCUGUCUUAGUCUUUUCUGUCUCCCAAGGUGAUGUUUUUGUGGUUUUCACUUUGUAUGGGUCUGCUGUCAAGAAAAGAAGAAAAAAGGAGUAGGAAAAUAAAAUAAAGGGCGGAGAGUGCAGAAAUUGAUUCUAUGAAAUACAAUGUGAAAUAAUGUUUUUUAAGGAAAGAGAAAUUGAGUCUCUGAAAUUUUGCAUCUCCACCAAGCUCUGCUCGCUAAAGAGACGGCAGGAGGAUGGAGCUGUGGCUGUAUUUUCAGUGUCCUGUGAUAAUCAGACAAAUCCAUCUAAGAGCCUUUCUGAGGCGAAUUCUUCUUUGAAGCCCUUCACUACUGUGACACAAGCCACAGUGUGGACCACUUGUUCCAUGUUGAAAUUAUGAGACCUUUCCAGUGUUUGUGACUCUAUAUGGAGGAAUCUUUGCUCCCCUCUUUGUUGGCUGAUUCCUCGUGGGAACUUGGUCACUUUCUUUAGGAAUGAUCCUGCUGAAACUAACCAUGCCAUAUGUUUUCUGAUGUGCCAUAGUUAAUGAUCACAUUUGUUUGAAAACAGGAUCUUAGUUCUCGAAAAUAACCUUCAUUGUAAAGAAAGAAGGUGCAUAUGUUCCAGAAUGUCUGUGUUAUACAUAGCUUUAUAAUUCCAUGAAGUACUACGCAGCUGUUUAAAAUGCCUAAACAGAGCAAAGAAAAAUCUAGAUAAAAUGUUCUUUUUUGAAUGGGGUAUUUUGACAUCCAAUCAGCAUUUUGAGUCUGUCUCUCUAUGAAGAGCAUUUUCUUGGUUGAAGUCUAGUCAGCCUCAGACUAGUUUAGCCCCACAGACACUGGGACAAUAACUCAUCUUAAACUUUAGUUCUAUAAAUUAAUAAGUAUUCAGUGUUGUUUGUUUCAGUGGUAGUGAGGGGAUUUUUGCUUUUUUGUUUUGUCCAUAAGAUCUCUAUCUUAGGCCAAAUUCAGUUUAGAAAAAAAACAAAAAACCCGAACUAUUCUGUAUCUGUAAUAGCACAUUUCUAUUGGGUGACUAACAGCCUUCCCACCAAGCCCUGGAAGUAGAUUGAUCUGCUCAGUCUCAAGUCUGUACAGCUCUGCAAGCAUGGGAAGGUGAGUUUCCACUUUGGCUUGUGACUAACAGUACCAAUUUCCAGAGCUGUGGGGCUUGGUGAAGCAAGUCAGCUGGAAACCCUUUCUUUCAACAAUGGAAGAUCAAGAACACAAAAGCUAUUCACAUACCUCAUGUCUUAUUCUUUAUGUCACACACUGCUGGAGCAGUAACCAUAAAGCAACCCUUAUUUUAAGUCAAGAUACCAGGUUUCUCUGCCAAUCUAACUUUCAGAGUGUCUGCUAGCUGGAAGAAUGACCAGAUUAGACAUAAGUUAACAGGUUAUUGUGACAAAAGAAACGUUCUACCUAGAAAAAUAAAGGUAGAUAAGUCUAGACUCUAUUCUGUAUGGUCUUAGGCUCAAGACUGGUGUAUAAAGAUGGUUUUUCCCCCAAACAUCGUCUAAUUGAUAGACCUUUCUAGUAAGGCAGUACUGUAGUUGGAAGUUCUCUUGAGAGGGAGAAAAACCCCAAGAUGAUGACAAGACUCCUAGCAAGCAAGCAACCAACUUGUGUUUCUUAACUCUAGAUGGACCCCAUCAAGAUGGCUGUGCAGCUAUUAAACUGGCAAGAGGUAAAGGGGCACAGAAAUUAGUGUGAGUGUCCUUCCAGAAGUGACCUCCGAGUACAUGCCCACUGCCACUUCUAAACCUUUAGGCAGGUGGGCUGCCCCUUUCUAAGUUUUUGGAGAGGAGGGUGUAGUCAGUAUGAAUCUUGGCACUGCUUGUCUGAGAGACCCUUCUAUGUCCAGCUGCUCGUUCCUAUGAGGGAACAUCCCAGCUAUUUCAGAAAAUCAUAUCCUGAUUUUCCUACUCACCACCCCAACCAACUACUCUGGCUCCAGCAGCCUUGGUAUAUUACAGGACCAGGAAGGCUGUUAGCUCCUGGAUCUCUCCCACCAGUCCCCCAGACCCACCCACAAGAGCAACCAGUCCUCAACCUGAACCAAGAAUGGCACCUGAACAGGCUUCUCAUUUCAUUAGCUCAGGAUGCCUCCCUCUCAAAUGAGGAGUUGAAAUCUGCUCCAGCAUAAACUGAAAAUCAAAGUUGAUUCAUUUGUUGCCUUCCCCUGACACAAGAAUCCCCCUGGGUGGUGGUGGUGGUGAGCUUUACUGAAGUUGUGAUAACCAGGGCCAUUUGCACAUAGAUGUUUUUUUUAAAGACAUUAAGUCCCCUUUAUUUAGCAGUGUUUCUGGGCUGAAAGAUGCUCCCCUACCCCCUGCACUUACCCAGGAUGUUAAUUAAUUAUGUCAUCAUUUAAAAAAAUUAUGUUGUUAAUUACUGCUUUGUUUCUUCCCACCCCGUCACAGCCUGGAGUUUUUAUUCAAUUAAAUCUCUGUCUCU